rnacentral:snRNA from 1 species
CUUCUGCAGAACAUAUACUAAAGUGAGAAUGAUACAGAGUAGAUAAGCAGCGCUCCUGCCAAGGAUGAUAAGAGCGAAAUCAUGAACCGUUCGAUAAUUUU